rnacentral:piRNA from 1 species
AAUAUGGAAGACGCCUGCAAGAAUU